UACAGAGGUCUCAAGCGUUGUUCGGAUUCAUUGGGCGUAAAGGGUGCGUAGGCGGCGCGGUAAGUCGGGUGUGAAAUUUCGAGGCUUAACUUCGAAACUGCAUUCGAUACUGCCGUGCUAGAGGACUGGAGAGGAGACUGGAAUUUACGGUGUAGCGGUGAAAUGCGUAGAUAUCGUAAGGAAGACCAGUGGCGAAGGCGGGUCUCUGGACAGUUCCUGACGCUGAGGCACGAAGGCCAGGGGAGCAAACGGGA
rnacentral:rRNA from 1 species